GCUGAGGAGGGAGCACCGUUUCAGCUCCUGUAUUCCCAGCUACUUCAGAGGCUGAGGAGGGAGGACCGUUUCAGCUCAGGAGGUCUGGACUGCAGCACACUAUGCCAAUCAGGUAUCUACACCAAGUUUGGCAUCAACAUGGUGACCUCCCAGGAUUGGGGGACCACCAGGCUGCCUAAGGAGGGGUGAAAUCAUGGCCCAAGUCAAAACUCCUGUACUGAUCAGUAGUGACCACUGCACUCCAGCACGGCCAACAUAGUGAGACCCCAUUUCC
ensembl:misc_RNA Metazoa_SRP Metazoan signal recognition particle RNA